UCGAAACCUGCAUGGCAGAACUACCUCGAGAACUAGUUAAAUCAAACACACGUCGUGUUGGGGGGUGGGGGUGCCCCCUUCCCCAAAUUGGCAAUUCCGGACGGCGGAUGCGCUAGCCGCUCGUGCCGUCACGGACAUAAACAACUCACAUCGGCGCGGAAGGCGUCAAGGACAAUAACGCAGGGGUAGCGUGCGGCCUAGUGCCGGCGCUGACUCGAUCGCAAAUUACGAUGACUCUCGGCAACGGAUAUCUCGGCUCUCGCAUCGAUGAAGAACGUAGCGAAAUGCGAUACUUGGUGUGAAUUGCAGAAUCCCGUGAACCAUCGAGUCUUUGAACGCAAGUUGCGCCCAAAGCCAUUUGGCCGAGGGCAUGUCUGCCUGGGUGUCACGCAUCACGACGCCCCAAAACUCCCCCCGGGGUAUUGGGUGCGGAUGAUGGCCUCCCGUGGCAAAGAUCGCUGCGGUUGGCCUAAAAGUGAGCACGGGAGCGGCGCAUUCCGCGGCGCGCGGUGGCGGUAACUAUCUGCCCCUCGGGCAUUGGCCCGGAUCGCCCUCCCUCGACUUGCUCGGUAGCCUUAACAAGACCAACGAAUGCGACCCCAGGUCAGGCAGGGCCACCCGCUGAGUUUAAGCAUAUCAAUA
rnacentral:rRNA from 1 species